UACGUAGGGUGCAAGCGUUAAUCGGAAUUACUGGGCGUAAAGCGUGCGCAGGCGGUUGUGCAAGACAGGUGUGAAAUCCCCCGGGCUUAACCUGGGAACUGCACUUGUGACUGCACAGCUGGAGUACGGGCAGAGGGGGAUGGAAUUCCGGCGUGUAGCAGUGAAAUUCGUAGAUAUUCGGAGGAACACCAGUGGCGAAGGCGGCUCACUGGCUCGACACUGACGCUGAGGUGCGAAAGCGUGGGGAGCAAACAGG
rnacentral:rRNA from 1 species